UACAGAGGUCUAAAGCGUUGUUCGGAUUCAUUGGGCGUAAAGGGUGCGUAGGCGGCGCGGUAAGUCGGGUGUGAAAUCUCGGAGCUUAACUCCGAAACUGCAUUCGAUACUGCCGUGCUUGAGGACUGGAGAGGAGACUGGAAUUUACGGUGUAGCAGUGAAAUGCGUAGAUAUCGUAAGGAAGACCAGUGGCGAAGGCGGGUCUCUGGACAGUUCCUGACGCUGAGGCACGAAGGCCAGGGGAGCAAACGGG
rnacentral:rRNA from 1 species